CUCUUAUCCAGAGAGGUGGAGGGACGGGCCCUAUGAUACCUCGACAACCAGCCGCAAGGCAUGGUGUCAAUUCCCGCAGAAGCAGUAUUCUGGGAGAUGAGAG
rnacentral:ncRNA from 1 species